AUACUGAAACCGAGUAGGGGAGAAAAGUCCAUUUCAAAAAUCAAUCGAUCAGUAAGAGAAAACAAACAAACAAAAAACAGCCUUUAUUUACUCUACAAGCACCCUUAAGGUCUCAUUGUCCUGAGGUCGUCAAAAUAACCGUUGCUUUGGCAUCAUGGCUGUGCACACCUAACUUGGAAUUACUUAAUUCAUUAUGAUGCUUCCAAAGAAAAUCCUUUUGGUUGAUGAAAGCAGGAGAUAAAGAUAAUAAUGGCAACCAUCGACUGAAGUACUAGGCACUGAAUGAAGUGCCUCAUAUGAACUAUCCACUUAGCUCCUGCAGUAAACCCUUAAUGGCGCUAUUAGUAUCCCCAGUUUAGGGAUAGAGAAGCUAACGCUCAGAGAGAGAAAGUGAUUUGCCCAAAGCCACAGUGUUAGCAGGUGACACAACCAAGAUUCAGACCCAGGUUCUUCGUCUACCCUAACAGUAUUGCCAAAGAGAGAUUCCAAAGUUACCGCCUGGCCACUGGGUAAACCUCCGCAGCAGAGAGACCUACUUUAUGUUUCAUUUUCAAGCUCCUAUGGAGCCCAGCAGAGAGAGCUGACAAGGAGGAAUACUGCGAGGGGCUCACAGACUAAGACAAUCUGCUGGGAAAUUAGGAUUUUCAGAACAUAUGGUGGGCAUACAGAAGUCAGUAAAAAGCAUCAAGGCGUAUACCACCUGCCUCUAAAAUCAUCCAGUUUUCCUAUAUGCCCUGUUGCAACUGCUUAUUAAAACAAGGUUGCUAAAUAAUUCAUUGUUGCUUUUGUUAGAUAAUAAUAACUUAUUUUUUAGGCAUAUUUUAACUUCAGCAAUAAAUCAGGAAAUUAGAAAAUCAACGAGCUUAUGAAUGUUGCCUCCACCAAAACAUCACAACCUCAUUUGACCAAGGCUUAUUUUAAAACCUCUACUUUCAUGACAUGAAAAUCCCUUUAAAAUGUAUGCUAUUGAAACGUUUAAAUUUGAAAAACAUCUGGCAUGUCAAACUAUUUGGGAGCUUGUGGUUUUAAGUACUUUGUUUGAGGUGGUGUAUUUAGAAAGAAUUCACUUGUCAUUCUCAGGCUUCAUAGGGAAGUAGCCCUAAAAAACAAAUGUAUGUGGUAGUUCACUACAACCAUGGAGAAUCAAUAGCCAUCUAUUUAAUUUGCUAAGACAAUGUAAAUUAGUAACUUCCAGCCAGAUGUGUGAUAUGCACAUCAAACAAACUGCAACCUGUUCAUUAUGAAAAUCCUGUCAACACACACUGAGCCACUUGAUGACAUUUCGUCUAAAGCAAUUUCCACAUUUGCAGCUAUAAAAAUUGUCCUAAGAAUUUUUCUACAAGAAAUUGAAGCUGAGACUCAUAAAAGGGUAAUCAAUUUCAGCUUUUCAUCUUGUGUGCUGUGUAUAUAUGCUUCUGUGUGUUUAUUUCCAUUUUCAUUCAGAGGUAUAAAAUGUUUUAACAAUGUGCACCAUGCUCUUUUUC
rnacentral:lncRNA from 1 species